AUUGAACGCUGGCGGAAUGCUUUACACAUGCAAGUCGAACGGCAGCACGGGGGCAGCCCUGGUGGCGAGUGGCGAACGGGUGAGUAAUACAUCGGAACGUGCCCGGUCGUGGGGGAUAACGUAGCGAAAGUUACGCUAAUACCGCAUACGAUCUGAGGAUGAAAGCGGGGGACCUUCGGGCCUCGCGCGAUCGGAGCGGCCGAUGUCAGAUUAGGUAGUUGGUGGGGUAAAGGCCUACCAAGCCGACGAUCUGUAGCUGGUCUGAGAGGACGACCAGCCACACUGGGACUGAGACACGGCCCAGACUCCUACGGGAGGCAGCAGUGGGGAAUUUUGGACAAUGGGCGCAAGCCUGAUCCAGCCACUCCGCGUGCAGGACGAAGGCCUUCGGGUUGUAAACUGCUUUUGUACGGAACGAAAAGGCUCUGGCUAAUACCUGGGGCUCAUGACGGUACCGUAAGAAUAAGCACCGGCUAACUACGUG
rnacentral:rRNA from 1 species